rnacentral:rRNA from 1 species
GACGAACGCUGGCGGCGUGCCUAAUACAUGCAAGUCGAACGCAGGGGGGACGGGUGAGUAACACGUGGGUAACCUGCCCAUCAGAGGGGAUAAAACUUGGAAAACGGUGCUAAACCGAUAUUGAUGGAUGGAACCGCGGUGCAUUAGCUAGUUGGUGAGGGAACGGCUCACCAAGGCCACGAUGCAUAGCCGACCGGAGAGGGGGAUCGGCCACACGGGGACUGAGACACGGCCCAGACUCCUACGGGAGGCAGCAGUAGGGAAUCUUCGGCAAUGGACGAAAGUCUGACCGAGCAACGCCGCGUGAGUGAAGAAGGUUUUCGGAUCGUAAAACUCUGUUGUUAGAGAAGCGGUAUCUAACCAGAAAGCAACGGCUAACUACGUGCCAGCAGCCGCGGUAAUAC